CCUACGGGUGGCAGCAGUGGGGAAUAUUGGACAAUGGGCGAAACCUGAUCCAGCCAUGCCGCGUGUGUGAAGAGGUCUUCGGAUUGUAAGCACUUUAAGUUGGGAGGCGUUACCGACAGAAUAAGCACCGGCUAACUCUGUGCCAGCAGCCGCGGUAAUACAGAGGGUGCAAGCGUUAAUCGGAAUGACUGGGCGUAAAGCGCGCGUAGGUGGUUUGUUAAGUUGGAUGUGAAAGCCCCGGGCUCAACCUGGGAACUGCAUCCAAAACUGGCAAGCUAGAGUACGGUAGAGGGUGGUGGAAUUUCCUGUGUAGCGGUGAAAUGCGUAGAUAUAGGAAGGAACACCAGUGGCGAAGGCGACCACCUGGACUGAACUGACACUGAGGUGCGAAAGCGUGGGGAGCAAACAGGAUUAGAUACCCUUGUAGUC
rnacentral:rRNA from 1 species